rnacentral:rRNA from 1 species
GGAGGAUGUAUAGCAAUAGCUAACUGCACUAAAAAUUUUAGUGUAAAAUCGACUAUGUUGAAUAAAAUUCUGGGUAGUACUAUGAUAAUGACAUUACAUAUUCAUAAGUCUUGACCAAAUUACGUGCCAGCAGUCGCGGUAAUACGUAGAAGACAAGUGUUAUUCAUCUUUAAUAGGUUUAAAGGGUACUUAGACGGUAAAUCAAGCCUCAAAAGGGACUAAUUUGCUAGAGUUUUAUGUGAAAAAGUAUUAAAGUACUGCUGGUGUAGAGAUGAAAUUCUGUAAUACCUUAGAUGGCACAGGUUAUGGCGAAAGCAUCUUUUUAUGUAAAAACUGACGUUGAAGGACGAAGGCUUUGUGUCUCGAACAGGAUUAGAUACCCUAGUAGUCUAAGCAGACAAUGAUGAAUGUCAUAGAUUAGAUGUAAUUUGAUCUAUAAAUGAAAGUGUAAGCAUUCCACCUCAAGAGUAAUUUGGCAACAUUGGAACUGAAAUCAUUAGACCGUUUCUGAAACCAGUAGUGAUGUAUGUUGUUUAAUUUGAUAAUCCGCAAAAAACCUUACCACCUUAAGUGAGUAUUCUAUGAAUAGAGGAAAUAAUAAUAUGAAUAGAUAUAUUUUAUCAUACAAGCGUUGCACGGCUGUCUUCAGUUAAUGUCGUGAGACUUUGGUUAGUUCCAUAAAAUUAACGUAAACCCUUACUUUAUUUUAAAAUAAAGUAGCUCACCGCUAUAUGGAUGUGAUAACAGGAUCAAGACAAGUCAUCAUGACCUAAAUAUUGU